UCCGAGUUGACCCCGGCAGUCUCCUACGAGUCCCCGGCAUUACCCGCUGGCAACAUAGGACAAGGGUUGCGCUCGUUGCGGGACUCAACCCAACAUCUCACGACACGAGCUGACGACAGCCAUGCACCACCUGUGCGGGACCCCGAAGGACACCGUAUCUCUACGGCUUUCCCGUGCAUGUCAAGCCCAGGUAAGGUUCUUCGCGUUGCUUCGAAUUAAUCCACAUGCUCCGCCGCUUGUGCGGGCCCCCGUCAAUUCAUUUGAGUUUUAACCUUGCGGCCGUACUCCCCAGGCGGUCGACUUAUCGCGUUAACUGCGCCACUAAGAACUCGAGGCUCCCAACGGCUAGUCGACAUCGUUUACGGCGUGGACUAC
rnacentral:misc_RNA from 1 species